UGUAGGAAGGUGAAGUUGGACUAUAAGAAGGUGAAGUCGGACUAUAGGAAGGAGAUGUGGGGCUAUAUGCUGGUGAAGUAGGGCUGUAAGCAGGUGAAGUGGGGCUGUAAGCUGGUGAAGUUGGGCUAUAGCUGGGAGAGGUAGGGCUGUAGCUGGGUGAUGUGGGACUGUAGCUGGGUGAUGUGGGGCUGUAGCUCGGUGAUGUGGGAGAGUAGGAUGGACUGGUGGGCGAAUAAGCUGGACUUGUAGGACUAUAUCCCGGAGAGCUAGGACUAUAAGUCGGAGAGGUGGGGCUGUACCCGGGUGAAGUGGGGCUGUACCCAGGUGAAGUGGGGCUGUACCCGGGUGAUGAGGGACUAUAGCCUGGGGAUGAUGGGCUGUAACCAGGAGAUGAAGUAGGAGAAAAUGCCAUCCCACCAACAUAAGGUGAAAACUGUGCAUCAGUAGUUGGAGACAGCCGUAAAUUGGGGCUCAACAAAUAACUGG
rnacentral:lncRNA from 1 species